rnacentral:rRNA from 1 species
CCAUGGCAAGUCGAGCGGUAGCACAGUAGAGCUUGCUCUCGGGUGACGAGCGGCGGACGGGUGAGUAAUGUCUGGCCAAACUGCCUGAUGGAGGGGGAUAACUACUGGAAACGGUAGCUAAUACCGCAUAAUGUCGCAAGACCAAAGUGGGGGACCUUCGGGCCUCUUGCCAUCAAAUGUGCCCCGAUGGGAUUAGCUAGUAGGUGGGGUAACGGCUCACCUAGGCAACUAUCCCUAGCUGGUCUGAGAGGAUGACCAGCCACACUGGAACUGACACACGGUCCACACUCCUACGGGAGGCAGCAGUGGGGAAUAUUGCACAAUGGGCGCAAGCCUGAUGCAUGCAUGCCGCGUGUGUGAAGAAGGCCUUCGGGUUGUAAAUCACUUUCAGCGGGGAGGAAGGCGGUGAGGUUAAUAACCUUAGCGAUUGACGUUACCCGCAGAAGAAGCACCGGCUAACUCCGUGCCAGCAGCCGCGGUAAUACGGAGGGUGCAAGCGUUAAUCGUAAUUACUGGGCGUAAAGCGCACGCAGGCGGUAUGUCAAGUCGGAUGUGAAAUCCCCGGGCUCAACCUGGGAACUGCUUUCUAAACUGGAAGGCUAGAGUCUUGUAGAGGGGGGUAGAAUUCCAGGUGUAGCGGUGAAAUGCGUAGAGAUCUGGAAGAAUACCGGGGGCGAAGGCGGCCCCUCC